GCCGCAGGCCCGGCCCGCUGCCGCCGUGCGCCUCCUUCCCUUGGCGGAGCAGGCGGAACGCGGGGACAUCUCCCGCCCCGCAGACUCGCCUGCUGGCUGAGGGGGAGCGGGGGAGCGCACUCACCAGAGAAAUGGAAAGCUUUCUGUCUCCCUACUGGAUCCACCCAGAGCCCAGUCCUGGAGGUAGCUUUGCAAGGAGUAAUCUUUAAAACCCAGGCCACAUUCUGGAGUUCCUCGGCACAUGCACACUCUGUCCAGACACCUGGUGAAAUAAACAACAGGAAGGACUUCGCCGUGACAAGUAAGAGACUUCCCAGCAAACUUUCCGCUGACAGGAACAUGGCAACACACGGAGAUAAAGCCUCCCAUUCCACCUUACAAGGAGGGCACCAGUCUUUGUCCAUUACGCCCCUUUUAUUAAAGCUUUAAUGGGGAAGCACAGAGUAUAAGAAAAAGAGGAACAUGAAGAUGCCUGUCUUUAAUCCUGUUCGCCUGUACAUUAUUUCUCACCCAUUUAUUCUGGUCUUUGCUUCUAUAUGAUUGAACUUUCAACUGCUUUUUAAUAUUGGCCAAUAGUGAGGUGAUCAUCACUGAGACUGAAAGUAUUGCACAUAUUGAGCUCUGAGUUGCAUCUCAUCCUAAAGAAAUCCUAAAAUACUGUGGAAAUUUCUACCAUUCCAACACCAUGACUGAUCCCUCUGGAGGACCAACUCUGAGAUAAGCAGACGGCUCAAUUUCCAGUUCUGUUACCACCCUUAGCGGACCCUUUCUUUCACUCCAGUGCAAAUACAUCUGCAAGUGCAGUGCGACUCACUAGAAAAACAGGAUUGGGAUCGACCUGAUCAGUGACUUACUGAUCAAGGUCCUGCAUCUCUGCAUUACCAGUCCCUUAAAAUUUCAGUUCUCCAAACACUUUUAACAGUUGCACUGAGUGACAUGCUCACAUAUGAACUGUAUGAAGAAGUCUCUGCCACCACUGAGAUCCUGAAAGUCAGGUUAAUCAAUGGGUAAAACAAACCUGGGCCAAUAACCCCAAAGAUCUAGACAUCUUCCUCUAGCCGAGAUGUACACUGAGUCUGUACUGCCAGUUUGGCAUAUUUCUCUUUAUUAAAAAUAGUCUUGUCAAGCUGAGGAUUAUUUUUAGUAUCAUAAUAGAGAAAAUACUGGGCUUUUCGCUUUUCCAGAUUUUCCCUAGAGACACAGCUGCUUAAUACAUUUUAGUGGACCAUAUAUCAGCUAAGUUACAGCUUGAAGCAAAAUUUUCAAUAGAGCAGAGUUGCCUGGAACUGGGGCCUUUAAAAGCACUUGCACUUUACAAACCAGAGAUGUAGUAGAGUGCUUUUCAGAACAAACCCUGCAAUGCUACGUGGGCUUGCUGAAAACAUCAGCAGUAGCUAAAGGAAAAAAAACCCCUUGCCUCAAACUUCAGAAAUGAAUCUAAACUUGUCCAGAGCUCAGAAAUACACGCAUCUGGGAUGUGGGAUUGAACUGACAAUGAAGUCAAACGGAGGGUUUUUUACUCUCAAAGUUCUUCUACACUGUUGUCAUAUACUUGGGAGUGUUCAAACCUCUUGGUGGUCCUUGGACCCCCCAUAGCCUUACAAGACACAUGGGGAAGCCCCUAUUACAGGAGCCUUCUCUAAGUAAAUACAGUUUCUUCCCAGGUUGUUUCUUCACCCCUUUUAUUAGAAGAAGAGAAGGUGAGACUCUAUAUUCUGUUGUUCUAUUUCCUCGCUUUUGCCAGAGGCACAGAGCUAGCUGUAAUUUUUCCACCAGGAAGGAGGAGGUGGAUGCAUGCAUGGUACACGUGUAUACGUUCUGGCAUUAUGCAAACCAGCCCAGGCCACAUGCUUUUAAUUGCAUACAUGUUCGCAACCCUUAUUUCACAUUCAGACGAUUGCCUAAUGGGCCACAGGCAGAGCGGACCCCUCCUGAUCAAACACACGAACCCAACCACUGCUGCACUUGAGAGGUCACUGCGACGGCCGGCAGGGUCCCAACCCGUCUCUGGUAGCGAGUGCCCAGAGCCCUGCCUCCUGCUGAUGUCGCUGUAAAGAUCCAGCUGGUUUUGAUGGGGCAUCAUUGAGCUUUGCAUGUCUCCCUUUUUAUGUAGAUGUGUUACCACAGUGCCAGAAGAAGAGCGGAGCAGAUUACAAGCCAUAGCUUCAUCUCUGCAUUUCAGACUCCUAUUUAUACACAAAACAAUAUAUGGGUUUUCAAAAGCUGCCAAGAAAUCAAGUUUGGGGAAAAAAAGGGCACAAGAACUUUUCAUCUGCAAGUCAGUUUGAAUAACAACUUGUUAAAAAGAACUUUGAAAUGUAAAUAGCGAAGUCUAUUAAUAGUUUCAGUAACUUCCCUGCUCGGUGGCUCAGUGUUACCGAUGUUUGUGCCUCAGCUGGCUCCUGAGCUGGGGAAGAGGCCGUUGUGCUGCCCUGGUGUCCCAAACGGCACCGCACAGACGCCCUCCCCGGUGCGGCGCAGGCUGAAAUGCUGAUCUCAUGUUUGGUCUUUCGACAAAUUUUCAUUUAAUGAAUUGAUUCCUACAGUUCAUUAACAUACCCACUUCCACUUCUGUAUACACAUAUGUCUUAAUUAGCUGCUCAUUGGCUGUUUAAUUACAAGAAAACAGCUGACAGCUGCCUUGCUGCAUCCUAGUGGCAGACGUUUUGGAAUGACUGUAUGCAAGCCUGUGACAACAAAGGCUUAUUCAUAAUCCCAUGAUUUAUGGCUAAUACUUAAAGACUUCCACGUAUCAUUAAGUUUUGCAAUAUUCUAAGCAAUUAACAAUUAAUUGCGGGGGUCAUUCUUUUACUGUUUUGUAAAGCAAACUAACACAAAUUUUCCUCAAAGAAACAUCAGAAAAAUACGCUGCCAUAUGAAAGGCAGGUGAACAUUAAAAUUGGACUUUUAACUCUUUUAUGACAGUGAGUACAUAUUUUAGUUGUAAAGGGAGGAGAGUGCUGCGACAAUAUUGUUUAAUAGACUUUGUUAAUGAAGUAUUGAUAAAAAAGUUACAGGAUGACUGAAAAGAGAGGAAAGAUGUUCAGGUUUACAUCUGUAAUAAAGGCAGGUGUGAGACUGUUCCUCUGGUUAUACAAGGCCCCUGACCAGCCCUUUCUGCAACAUGGCUCGUCUCUUUUCUAACAUGUUUUGCUUGAAAUGGGCUAGGCAAAAAACUAAAAUACAGAAAAACUUCAAAAGCAUGAAUUCAAGGUAAAUGUUUGCUACACCAAUAUAACACUCCACAUUUAACAGAGUAAUGAGAAACCAGCUAGUGAAGAAAGCGAAGUAACAAACAUGGACAUUCCUUGUAGUUACAAUGACCAAGACCACCUCCGGUCUUGAAAGACACGAGACAAAAGCCAGCACCUAUAAACCUCUGAAAAUGUGUGAGCCGCCCUGCACGGGUGGUCUGAUGAGACCGGCUGCGUACCGCCAAGUAGGGAGGGAUCACCCUCAUGCGUUUGUGGGUUAGCUGGGCAUGAACUGACAUUAUUGAUGGCAAAAGCCAGUAACUGCAUCUGCAAAUUAAAAGACAUAGUUCAUUAAUAAAAACUUAAUGUCAAACUAAAUGCUUUGCUAUGUCCUUUUGAAGCAUUCAUGUGUUUUCUGACAAUGCUGAACUGAUUCAGCUGUCAGCCAUGAGAAAAGAAUACGGGUGUGUACAAACCAGCCUCCUUUCUCAGCAUGGUCCCCCAGAGCAAAAGGCUGUUUUCAGGCUCCUGCGGCUAACGGCUGAGGAAGGGCUCCAUACAGGUACUAGUUUUUUUCAGUAGUGCUACUACGACAGUAUUAUUUCCAGUCUUACACAGGAGAAUAAACUUUCAUUCCCGAGUCAUGGUACAGUCUUGUGUCAUUCUUCACCCGUGCUUCUGAGUAAAAGUCUGAUAUGAUUAAUCGCAUCUUCCCUUUUCUCCCAUUAUAUGUUGUAUACUGGAUAUCAGCAAUGAGUGGAUAGAAAAAAACACCUCUCUUAA